GUUCCUUGCUCUCACUUACAAGUGUAACGAGCGAUAACUCUGGGUAGAGAUUGUGUCUAGUCCCAUCUUCACAAGUCAAGGGUUAUUGAUUCGUUACCUCGCACAAUAGCCCUUGACUUGUGAAGAUGGUCUAGUCCAUGCUGUCGCCUUUGCCAUGCCAUUUUGUCUUAAAAAAACAACAAAGACGGACGAUUGUUGGAGAAAGUUUUGGGGUUUGCGGUCAACUUCUAGUGACAAUCGAUCAUAUAACUCACCCAAAUGACGAUAAUUAGGACGGCUAGGGUCACCUUCAACAUUCUGGAGAAAGUAUGGAAUGCAAAGAACAUCUCGAGAAACACUAAAAUCAAGAUUUUUAAUUCAUUUGUAAAGUCUGUGCUUCUGUAUGGGGCAGAAACAUGGAGAACAACAAAUGCCACGAUUUCAAAAAUUCAAAGAUUCAUCAAUUACUGCCUGCGCAGAAUAAUGAACAUCAGAUGGUUUGAUAAAGUAAGAAACGAGGAUCUUUGGAAAAGAGCAAACCAAGCCCCCAUAGAUAUCCAAAUCAAAAAAGCAAAUGGUCAUGGAUUGGACACACACUGCGAAAACCACCAAGCAGCAUCACAAAACAAGCCCUCAAAUGGAACCCCCAAGGAAAAAGAAACAGAGGAAGACCAAGGAGCAGCUGGCGCAGAGAGCAAGGCUACAACUGGAUCUCAGCAGAAAGAUUAGCGCCAAACAGAGUCAGAUGGUGAUAGUUCGUCAAUGGCCUAUGCUCCCUAGAGGAGCAAAGGACUAAGUAAAUAUUUGAUACUGCCCAAACAGAUUUCCUUCAGAACCUCCCACACAGAGUUCCUUCAGCACAGUCAAAUAUAUGAUCUUAGCAUCGUUGUAUUUUGACAUAGAGGACAAAUAAAAUCAUAUUCAAUAGGCAAGGGAAAAGAGAUCAGCAAUAUUUCUUUCUACUGGAAUUUUUACGAUAUUCAGUGAAACUUGAAAAUGCGAAAACUCACCGCAAUGAAUGGUUUAUAUUCAUGGAGUGUGAGAAUGCAGGUUGAGCAUGUCAUCCCGAGAAGAUUCCAAUGAGUCCGCAAAUCUAUCUUUACCAAUGUUUUGUCGAUAAUAAAUCUAUAGAUCUCUAUGCUGUUUUGUCGAUAAUAAAUCUAUAUAUCUCUAUGCUGUUUUGUCAAUGAAUCUAUAUAUCUCUAUGCUGUUUUGUCAAUGAAUCUAUAGAUCUCUAUGCUGUUUUGUCGAUAAUAAAUCUAUAGAUCUCUAUGCUGUUUUGUCAAUGAAUCUAUAGAUCUCUAUGCUGUUUUGUCAAUGAAUCUAUAUUUCUAUACUGUUUUGUCAAUAAUUUUAUAUAUCUCUAUGCUGUUUUGUCAAAAAAUCUAUAUAAAUCUAUAUAAAUCUA